GCUAAACGCGAAGAACCUUACCUACGCUUGACAUGCCAGGAACCUUCCAGAGAUGGAGGGGUGCCCGAAAGGGAACCUGGACACAGGUGCUGCAUGGCUGUCGUCAGCUCGUGUCGUGAGAUGUUGGGUUAAGUCCCGCAACGAGCGCAACCCUUAUCCUUAGUUGCUACGCAAGGGCACUCUAGGGAGACUGCCGGUGACAAACCGGAGGAAGGUGGGGAUGACGUCAAGUCCUCAUGGCCCUUAUGUGUAGGGCUUCACACGUCAUACAAUGGUCGGUACAGAGGGUCGCCAACCCGCGAGGGGGAGCCAAUCCCAGAAAACCGAUCGUAGUCCGGAUUGCAGUCUGCAACUCGACUGCAUGAAGUCGGAAUCGCUAGUAAUCGCAGAUCAGCAUUGCUGCGGUGAAUACGUUCCCGGGUCUUGUACACACCG
rnacentral:rRNA from 1 species